ACAGUCAGCAGCUGACAGAAUCCACACAUUGGUUUCCUUACCUAUGGAGUGAGGGCUAUUAUGGUGGAAAAGGCCAAGUAGAAGCCACUAGAACUAUCUGUACUUAGGAAAAUAGUAAACCAAAAGUAAUGCUCAAUUCCUAUAGGGACUGAAGAGAUUAGUGCCACCAUAAGUACUUGAAGGAAGGCAGGGUGGUGAUUCCUACCAGAUCUCCAUUCAACUCGCCUGUUUAGCCUGAGCAGAAGACAGAUGGAUCUUGGAGAAAAACAGUGGAUUAUCACACACUGAACUAGGUGGUGACUCCAAUUGCAGCUGCUGUACCAGAUGUAUUGCUUGAGCAAAUUAACACAACCUCUGGUUCCUGGUAUGCAGCUACCUGGAAUCUUGAUUGCCUUUUCUUUCCACAUCACAUUGGCCCAUUACAUUGAUGACAUUAUGCUCACUGGACCUAAUGAGUGAGACGUAGCAACUACUCCAGACCUAUUGGAACUGACUUCACCUGCAACAGAGCUUGGAGAAGCUGAAGCCUAAGGGUGCUCUAAAGCAGGGGUCCCCAACCUCCGGGCUACAGACCGAUACCCAUCCAUGGCCUGUUAGGAACCCGGCUGCAGAGCAGGAG